UUUCAGUAGGGACUUUAUUAAAACUAAAAGAAAGUAAUUUAAUGAUGUCUUACGGAAAUA
rnacentral:pre_miRNA from 1 species